rnacentral:rRNA from 1 species
UAGGGAAUCUUCCGCAAUGGACGCAAGUCUGACGGAGCAACGCCGCGUGAGUGAAGAAGGAUUUCGGUUCGUAAAACUCUGUUGUUAGAGAAGAACAGCGCAUAGAGUAACUGUUAUGCGUGUGACGGUAUCUAACCAGAAAGCCACGGCUAACUACGUGCCAGCAGCCGCGGUAAUACGUAGGUGGCAAGCGUUGUCCGGAUUUAUUGGGCGUAAAGCGAGCGCAGGCGGUCAAUUAAGUCUGAUGUGAAAGCCCCCGGCUCAACCGGGGAGGGUCAUUGGAAACUGGUUGACUUGAGUGCAGAAGAGGAGAGUGGAAUUCCAUGUGUAGCGGUGAAAUGCGUAGAUAUAUGGAGGAACACCAGUGGCGAAGGCGACUCUCUGGUCUGUAACUGACGCUGAGGAGCGAAAGCGUGGGUAGCAAACAGG